rnacentral:tRNA from 1 species
AAGGAUUUAAGUUAAGCGUAAACUAGUAGCCUUCAAAGCUAUCAAUAGAAAAAAGUCUAAGCCUUA